rnacentral:lncRNA from 1 species
GUCAAGCUUAAACUGCGACUCCGAGACGCCGGGAACGCGCGAACCACCAACGCUGAUCCCAAGAAGCUGAAGAUAAUAGAACGUGUCGAGCUUCGGAUUCGUCAAUAACGUCGUGAAGACGGAGGUUUCCGGAACGGCGUCGUUUCCGAAGACGAUAGUCGACGGAGGUUUGGAAGCGGAACCGGAACUCGUCCGGUCGACUAAACAGUAAGAGAAUUUAGCGUUGUAACGGUUUUUCGUCUGCGUAAGCUUCUAAAUUUUGGUGCAUAUAACUUUUAUAAAGACUCUAUACAUGUUUUUGGAUUAAAUAUUCAGUGGCUCAAUUUAUGACCAAGUGCUCUCUAGAGUUAGUUGAAGAAAUUUCAAGAUGUUUUAGUUUGUCAAAAGAUGUACAACACUGUGAAUGUGAUGGUAAUUAAAGAUAUUUCAAAGAAUACAUUACAUUUAAGAUUUACUUCUCUUUGAGUUAACAUAAAGAACUUUUUUUAACACAAGUCACUGAAUGAGUAAAUUCUCCUCCACUCAUGUCACAGAUUCAGUUAAAAAAUGAUCCAUCAUGAAAUCAUCAUUAAUGAGUAAUGAGUGGUAUGAUGAAUAGAUGAUGUCAUGUUGACGACAAAUAUGGAUAAAAUUCUUAUUUUUAAAAUUGUUCUUUGGGAAUAAUUAAUCAGUCAAGUCAGACACAAAAACCUAACAUGCGCCAGACAUAAACCCGACCCGUGACCCGACUAAGUCGUAAGCCACACGGAAACCUUGUUGCUGUAUGUUCCCAAUAAUCGACAAACUCCCCAUUGUGCCGGCGAACGCAAAACAGAACCGCCCUUGACUGUUCACCGGAAUAAGAUAAUUACUUGCCGGAAGCGAAACAUCUCCUCCGCUGAAAUGAAACACCACCGUCGGAACUUUCACCGUCGUCAUCCCGGAAAGAUCGAAACACGUGUCGAACAGAGAAUACGACGGAGCACGUUUAAGCCUCGUCGCUCCGAGAAGAAACGCAUCUCUGAACGCCACAUAAGCCGGUCGAGUCAGCCGAGUAACCGAAGUACCGGAAUCUAUAAUCACUCCGCCGUCUCCGGUGGGGUCAAGCUUAAACUGCGACUCCGAGACGCCGGGAACGCGCGAACCACCAACGCUGAUCCCAAGAAGCUGAAGAUAAUAGAACGUGUCGAGCUUCGGAUUCGUCAAUAACGUCGUGAAGACGGAGGUUUCCGGAACGGCGUCGUUUCCGAAGACGAUAGUCGACGGAGGUUUGGAAGCGGAACCGGAACUCGUCCGGUCGACUAAACAGUAAGAGAAUUUAGCGUUGUAACGGUUUUUCGUCUGCGAGGGAAACGAUAACCCUCCGCGGCCCAGGCCCAACAGCCCAGCCG